AACGAACGCUGGCGGCAGGCCUAACACAUGCAAGUCGAACGCCGUAGCAAUACGGAGUGGCAGACGGGUGAGUAACACGUGGGAACGUACCCUUCGGUUCGGGAUAACUCAGGGAAACUUGAGCUAAUACCGGAUACGUCCGAGAGGAGAAAGAUUUAUCGCCGAGGGAUCGGCCCGCGUCUGAUUAGCUUGUUGGUGAGGUAACGGCUCACCAAGGCGACGAUCAGCAGCUGGCUGAGAGGAUGAUCAGCCACAUUGGGACUGAGACACGGCCCAAACUCCUACGGGAGGCAGCAGUGGGGAAUAUUGGACAAUGGGCGCAAGCCUGAUCCAGCCAUGCCGCGUGAGUGAUGAAGGCCCUAGGGUUGUAAAGCUCUUUUACCCGGGAAGAUAAUGACUGUACCGGGAGAAUAAGCCCCGGCUAACUUCGUGCCAGCAGCCGCCG
rnacentral:rRNA from 1 species